UACGGAGGGUGCAAGCGUUAUCCGGAUUCACUGGGUUUAGAGGGUGCGUAGGUGGAUUGGUAAGUCAGUGGUGAAAUCUCCGGGCUUAACCCGGAAACUGCCAUUGAUACUAUCAGUCUUGAAUACCGUGGAGGUCAGUAGAAUAUGUCAUGUAGCGGUGAAAUGCUUAGAUAUGACAUAGAAUACCAAUUGCGAAGGCAGCUGGCUACACGAAUAUUGACACUCAGGCACGAAAGCGUGGGGAUCAAACAGG
rnacentral:rRNA from 1 species